rnacentral:rRNA from 1 species
GACGAACGCUGGCGGCGUGCUUAACACAUGCAAGUCGAACGGAAAGGCCCUGCUUUUGUGGGGUGCUCGAGUGGCGAACGGGUGAGUAACACGUGAGUAACCUGCCCUUGACUUUGGGAUAACUUCAGGAAACUGGGGCUAAUACCGGAUAGGAGCUCCUGCUGCAUGGUGGGGGUUGGAAAGUUUCGGCGGUUGGGGAUGGACUCGCGGCUUAUCAGCUUGUUGGUGGGGUAGUGGCUUACCAAGGCUUUGACGGGUAGCCGGCCUGAGGGUGACCGGCGACAUUGGGACUGAGAUACGGCCCAGACUCCUACGGGAGGCAGCAGUGGGGAAUAUUGCACAAUGGGCGGAAGCCUGAUGCAGCAGCGCCGCGUGCGGGAUGACGGCCUUCGGGUUGUAAACCGCUUUCGCCUGUGACGAAGCGUGAGUGACGGUAAUGGGUAAAGAAGCACCGGCUAACUACGUG